UGGGGAAUCUUCCGCAAUGGACGAAAGUCUGACGGAGCAACGCCGCGUGAGUGAAGAAGGUUUUCGGAUCGUAAAACUCUGUCUUUUGGGGCGAACGUGAGUAUGGUGAACAAUCAUAGUCAGUGACGGUACCAAAGGAGGAAGCCACGGCUAACUACGUGCCAGCAGCCGCGGUAAUACGUAGGUGGCAAGCGUUGUCCGGAAUUAUUGGGCGUAAAGAGCGCGUAGGCGGGAUAGUCAGUCUGUUGUAAAAGUGCGGGGCUCAACCCCGUGAUGGCAAUGGAAACAGCUAUUCUUGAGUGCAGGAGAGGAAAGUGGAAUUCCCAGUGUAGCGGUGAAAUGCGUAGAUAUUGGGAGGAACACCAGUGGCGAAGGCGACUUUCUGGACUGUGUCUGACGCUGAGGCGCGAAAGCCAGGGGAGCGAACGGGAUUAGAUACCCCGGUAGUCCUGGCCGUAAACGAUGGGUACUAGGUGUGGGAGGUAUCGACCCCCUUUCCGUGCCGGAGUUAACGCAAUAAGUACCCCGCCUGGGGAGUACGGUCGCAAGACUGAAACUCAAAGGAAUUGACGGGGUCAUAGCUG
rnacentral:rRNA from 1 species